GAUGAACGCUGGCGGCGUGCCUAAUACAUGCAAGUCGAGCGAACAGAUGAGGAGCUUGCUCCUCUGACGUUAGCGGCGGACGGGUGAGUAACACGUGGAUACCCUACCUAUAAGACUGGGAUAACUUCGGGAAACCGGAGCUAAUACCGGAUAAUAUAUUGAACCGCAUGGUUCAAUAGUGAAAGACGGUUUUGCUGUCACUUAUAGAUGGAUCCGCGCCGCAUUAGCUAGUUGGUAAGGUAACGGCUUACCAAGGCAACGAUGCGUAGCCGACCUGAGAGGGGGUUCGGCCCCACUGGAACUGAGACACGGUCCAGACUCCUACGGGAGGCAGCAGUAGGGAAUCUUCCGCAAUGGGCGAAAGCCUGACGGAGCAACGCCGCGUGAGUGAUGAAGGUCUUCGGAUCGUAAAACUCUGUUAUUAGGGAAGAACAAAUGUGUAAGUAACUAUGCACGUCUUGACGGUACCUAAUCAGAAAGCCACGGCUAACUACGUG
rnacentral:rRNA from 1 species